UUUUAAAAGUUUAAAUUUUAAUUGAAGUUUAAAUUUUUCUAGCGGUACUGAACGGAGCACUGCGGCGGAAAGCGUUCAUAUGUUGCGCGGGGCUCAUAAUUAAGUGGUAUCCCGCUGACGUCGUCCAUAGGCGACACUCGUCCCCACAGGUAGUCACGCGGAUGCCGCCUAUACGUAGCGAAAGGGUUAAAGGAGAGAAUAUAUUUAAACCACGUGUAUUAUUAUAAACAUUUUAUUUUCUUUUACACCGGGUUUAUUUUUGUAGUUGCAAAUAUGAUACAUUAAUGUGAGAUAUUUUUGUCUUUUGAACAGGUUAAAUAUAUAUAAUAAAAAAAUUGCCGAAAUAGUUAUUCAAGUGCUAUAGUAUUUUUGUAAGAGUUGUUGAAUCAAUGGAAAAUGUUUUCAUAAUGCAUAACUUUACUACAAAAUCGAUUUAUCGAGCAGAUUUCUUUUGGCGAAUUAAUACUAUGAUAUUGACACAGAGUAUACAUAUGCAACUAAACAAAGUGUAGUUUCACAGUUAAUAUUCAGUAUGUUC